AGUGAACGCUGGCGGUAGGCCUAACACAUGCAAGUCGAACGGCAGCAUAGUAAGAGCUUGCUCUUACGGGUGGCGAGUGGCGGACGGGUGAGGAAUACAUCGGCAUCUACUUUUUCGUGGGGGAUAACGUAGGGAAACUUACGCUACUACCUCAUACGACCUACGGGUGAAAGCAGGGGAUCUUCGGACCUUGCGCGAUUGAAUGAGCCGAUGUCGGAUUAGCUAGUUGGCGGGGUAAAGGCCCACCAAGGCGACGAUCCGUAGCUGGUCUGAGAGGAUGAUCAGCCACACUGGAACUGAGACACGGUCCAGACUCCUACGGGAGGCAGCAGUGGGGAAUAUUGGACAAUGGGCGCAAGCCUGAUCCAGCCAUACCGCGUGGGUGAAGAAGGCCUUCGGGUUGUAAAGCCCUUUUGUUGGGAAAGAAAAGCAGCAGGUUAAUACCCCGCUGUUCUGACGGUACCCAAAGAAUAAGCACCGGCUAACUUCGUG
rnacentral:rRNA from 1 species